CUAACCCUAACCCAACACUAACCUGCUGCCGCUGCCGCUCUCGAUCCCGAUCCCGAUCGCGAUCUCGUCGCUCGCUGCCGCUGCUCGCGCCUCCCGCGAGCCCUCUCGCUGCUCGCGCCUCCUGCGAGCCCUCCCGCGAGCCCUCCCGCUGCUCGCGUCUCCUGCGAGCCCUCCCGCGAGCCUUCCCGCUGCUCGCGCCUCCCUCGAGCCCUCCCGCUGCUCGCGCCUCCCGCGUUUUUUAAAUCACUGGUUGCUGCUGCUCUACGUGUUGCUUGUUUGAGAUCGCUGAGAAACUUUCGGAACAGAAAUUGUGGCUUGCUUUGAAGUGGGAAUAUCAUCCUUGAAAAAUGCUUGAAAAAGAAAAGAUGGGACAAGCUACGUGGGAGAGAUUAUUAAUCGGUUAUAAAAGAUUUCUCAGGAUGUCUUGGUGUACUAUUGAGUCUGAUCCUGAUGUCAGACAAGUAGGCAAGUUCCAACCUAGAAACAAGUCACAACCAAUAAAGGGAACUGCUAAAUCUGUUUCUUUUAUUCUUCCUGAUGCUUCCAUUACUGGUCCUCCUCCCAUGGGAUCCUUUUCUGAGAUAACGAACCCUUCUUCUGUACAAGCGAAGAUCGAUAUACCUGUGGAGAAUCCUUUGCAUUCAUCAAUCAUAACCUCAGACUGCAAUGAAGGUGUUCAAAUAGAUCACCGAGAGGUGGGAGAAGAGAAUAGAGAAGAAAUCAGACUUCCAAAGGGUUUGGAGGAUAUUCAUACCGAGUCUCAAUCCCAAAUUGUUCAAAAACUUAAGCAGCGGAUCCAUGAAGGAAGGCCUACUUCAGAAAAUGAUGAAGAUGAUGAUGCUCAUAAACCAUGUAGGAAACUGAGAAAGAGGAUAGCCAAGUGCAGUACUGACCAAAUUGAAGUUGGAAGCAAUGAUGAACGUGAUAUUGACAACUUUAAUGUCUCUCAGAUGGAUAACAGCCAAAGUGAUGAUUGUCAUAGGGAUGAAGAUAUGCCUAGGCCAAAGAGGACCAAGAGAAAGUCAAAGAGGCAGACAAAUGAAUUCGAAAAACCCACUCCGAAGCGUAAGAAAGCCUUUGAAAAACCUGAUUCUGUUGUAGAGAAUUCACCUAAAAAGAAGUUUCCUCAUGCCACAAGGCGAAGGAGAAGGCAAGUGAACAAAGUUUUACUGCAAACACCUGAAGAUGAGAUUGACCCGAGACAGAUUAGCAUAAGAGACCUAAGAAUGCUUGCAGAAGCUAAGGAGCGUAUAGCAAGUAAAGAAGCGGCGGCAACGAGUAAAUUAUUCUCAGGUCAGAGCUUUGUAUUCAUUCUGUAGAAAAGGUCAGAAAAACACUUGUAGAUGGCAUACAGGGGCUUCUGUUGAAUUGUAGAUGCACUUUGCAAAGAAGCAAAUUAAUGCUUUUGGAGUGUGUGUGUGCUGGUUUGUGACGAUGCAGAUGUUGUGUCCAUGGUAGCUCAGUAAUCCCUUGAAUCUUUAUUUGUUUUGGUGAAUCUUACUUUUUCAAGUUAUUGGCAUCCUCAUCAAAGCACUUCCAUGUGUGGUUCUUGCAAGUGAUGAGACAAUUGCUUUGUCACAUGCUCAGAAACUACUUUCUCUAGUCUAUUAUGCAGGUCCGGACCUUUUAGUAAAUUACCUUCAGUCUCCUGUAAGUAUAGAUGUUCACAAUUUUUUGUUUCCAAAGAAUGUAUUAUUUAUUUUCUGUAGUGUAUUGGGACCUUCUUAUUUGUGUUUUUGACUUAAAUCCUUUGCAUGUUUUUAUUCUUGUGAUAAAAUUUUCUUUUAUUGACAUGACAUACAGUGCUAUUUAACUACUAAACAGUGUUAUUUGUAUCUUUUCCCUUUUUUUCUGAUGUUUUUAUUUCCUUUUCAUGUCUAAUAAUGAACUUGAAAGAGGGGGCAAAUAUACUUGUUUCAGCCUUGCGAAGGUAAUUCAACCCAUUUCUACAAAUGGUUUGGAGCUUAUCUUUUAUUAGUGAGGGUGUUUCAAUUGUUAAUUUGUUGCUUGUGAGAUAUAAAUGAAUUCUAUAGCCCUUUGUUUUUAGUCAAAGAUCAAUUAAGAAUAAAUAGAGAAAACAGUUAGGUAAAUGUAUUUUUGAGGUAAUAUAGUUUUUGGCUAGAAUAAGGUUUACACUUUCGAUCCGUACCAGUGUACCGAUCAUACUGUCAUGAACGAUCGUCGCGCACCCGUAACAACUUCGUUCAACGAAUCGGUUCGCUUUUGCAUGUUUUGCCUUGGUUUUGUGUGUUUUUGUUUGUAAAAAUCCAUGUUCGAACAGGUUGCAGCGGUACAGUGUGAUCUCUCGUUGCGUUGGGCCAAAUUGCCCCAAAAUGACUCCAUUUUUGCGUGCCGCAGCCUGUUUUCUGUAGACCGCAACUGAACGCAAAACGUCAGUCAUUUCAGCACCUUGGAACCGCCCGGGUGACACCAUGGGGGAUGGGGCUUCGGUAUAAUGUCGGUCGUUGAACAAUCUUCACAAGUUCAUACGUUAACUUGACAGGAACUUUCCUUCGUGCACGACACCCGGUGAGCAUUUAUUUGUGGACUUGCAACUGUUCGUUCUACCUUCUAAAAGGCGAGGCCAUCACCUUCAGUUCAAGUAGUUUAGAAUCCAAUAGCGACGAUGAGGAGUCGCAAGGUCCCUGAAUAGAAGCAAUGCAUUUGUUGAAUGCAUUGUGGGGUCAAAUGGGGGAGAACAUUAAGGCAAAGCCAUUGAAAGCAGGGAGUAGCAAGCUGAUGUACGUGGACAUUAAGCACAAUGGUCAAUGGUGGACACAGGCGCUAUCCACAACUUUAUUUCCAACCAAAAAGCAAAGCGACUUGGGCUAAUCUUGGAGAAGAACCCAAGUCGGAUGAAGGCAGUGAACUUGGAGGCCAAGUGGAUCGUCGAGCUAGCAAAGGGAGGUCCCCAUCACGAUAGAAACAUGGAGCGGGAGCACAAACAUGAUGGCGGUGUCAUUGGACGACUUUCAAGUGAUUCUCGGAAUGGAGUUCAUGCAUGCGAUGAAGUUGGUGCUAAUGUUGUUCCUAAACUCCCUAUGUAUGAUGGGAGGUAACGACCCCUGUGUGGUUCUCGUCUCUUGAAGAGUAACCAAGGACCCCCAACAAAUAUCGACAUUAUAAUUGAAGAAAGGGGUAUGAAAAGUCGAAUCAACAUUCGUGGCUGUUGUGAAGCUAGAGCCCCUCUACGGUGAGGUCGUUCAUGAAUCUACUAUGGUGGCAAACGUUUUGAAGGAGUUCACAGAUAUUAUGCCACUCAAGUUGCCGAAAACUCUACCACUACGCAAGGGCGUGGAUCAUCAUAUCGAGCUGGUACCGGGAGUGAAGCUUCCAGCGAGACCACCCUACCGCAUGUCCUCUGCAGAGUUGGAAGAGCUCAAAAAGUAGUUAGAUGAACUGCUAAGCGGUGGUCUCAUCCGCAGUUCUGAAGCAUCAUUUGGAGCUCCAGUUCUCUUCUAAAAGAAACAAGAUGGGAACCUCCGACUAUGCGUCGACUGUCGAGCCCUCAAUAAGGUGACGAUGAAGAACCAGUAUCCCAUCCCACUCAUUGCAGACUUGUUCGACCAGCAAAGUAUUUCUCCAAACUUGACCUUCGGUCGGGGUACUGGCAGGUGCGCAUUGCUGAAGGCGACGAAGUGAAGACUACUUGCGUGACCAAGUCUGGAGCGUUUGAGUUCUUAGUGAUGCGUUUCAGCUUAACCAAUGCUCUGGUCAUAUUCUGCACUCUUAUGAACCAACUAUUCAAAGAGUAUUUUGAUAAGUUUCUGGUCGUCUACUUGGACGAUAUCGUCGCCUACAGCCAAACGCUCGAGGAGCAUGUCGAGCACCUUCGAACUAUUUUCAAAGCUCGCUUCAUAGCUGGGUAUUCGAAGCGCGCAACUCCACUGACUGAGUUGUUGAAGAAGGAGCAACCUUGGAUGUAUCUGUUUCUUUUCAGCACUCAAUGAAAUAUAAUUCCAGUCUUUUGACAAAACCUAGGAGGUCGAUCCCCUCGAAAUGAUUAAAGAGGCUGAUCCCGUCGAAGUGAUCAUCCCCUUUUCUCCCCUUUCUUCUAUGAUUAAACUUUAGGGUCUUAUCAAUAGCGAAGAGGCGGCGGUCAGCUUCUUCGUCGCAUUCUUUGCCGAAGGCCGAAGGCACCUGCAACCGAGGUCUGCUGUACUGAAGCGUACUGCCCGUACCGAGGGGUACGUACCGGUCCGACAGGUUACCGGUAGACGGACCGCCCGAUACCGCUACAGUGCUACAGUACUAUACUGUAGCACUGCUACAGUAUGAAAAAAAAAUAAAAAAAAUAUUCGGUACACCAGGGCGUACCGCCCGGUACACUGGUACCAUAUCGUACCGAGCCCGGGUCGAAACGCCGGUACGGUACAGCGAAACUUGCCUACAACCUUCGUCGCAUUCUUCAUCGAUGGCCGAAGACAUCUGCUGCCUUCAACAUCUUCGCCAAACGCUACAUAUGAGGAGAAGACCGCGUUCUUCUCCUCGUCUAACAUAAGGAGAAGAAAAGGAGGCGACAUCGCUGAGGCAGCUUAUGCCUCCUUUUUUAUUUUUUAAUAUUUUAUAUAUUGAUUUUUAUUUUUUUAUGUGUCUAUAUAUAUAUAUAUAUAUAUAUAUAUAUAUAUAUAUAUAUAUAUGUAUCGAGCAGUACACCCUGGUGUAUCGCUCGGUACACCUAUAUCAUACCGUACUGAGCAAAGCUCGAAAUAUCGGCACAAUACAAAAUUACAAACCUUGGUUCAAGUGGUUGCAACUUUGAUCGUUGUCAAAUGUGGUGUCUCAGAUAUUGGGAGCCAGCCAAUGCCUAUUGGUAUUUGGAAUAUUGCAAUCGGCUGGUUUGUUUGGUAGUCAUCACCUAGUUUGUUUGGGAGUCAUCACUUACUUAUUUGAUAAUCUUAUUCAAGACAUUGCAUAUUCAUCCUACUUUUGGGUAAUAUAUCAUGAUGAUUUAAAUAUUUAGACAAUCUAAUUGAGUUUGCUUUUCAUUAUGCCCACUGAUAUCAAGUUAAUAAAUUGUCCUUCAGAAUAUAUAAGCACAACACAACUUUUUUUUCCUAAAUUGUUUAUGAAAUGUACCAAAAGAAAAGGCUGAAAAUGUUACCUUAGGGAAGGAGAAAAACAAUAAAUAUUAUUUGGGUCUUAUUCAGGAGAUUACUUGAAGAAGAAUAAAGUGAAUUUGCCUUUACUCAAGCAUAUUGAAUCUAGAUCAAUUAGUUGUAGAGGGCUUUCCUGUUUCCGUAGAUGUUGAUUACAUUGAUAUCAUGAAUACACUUGCUUUCCUGUUCUGUACAGACUAGACUUAUCUUUGCAAUUACUAAUUUGCAUUCAUGGAUUUAAAUUUUUCCUCAAUUAGAAACAUGCAUAUUAGUUUUUUCCAAGGUCCAUCUUUAUUAUGUUGACAAAGCUCAAAAGAAAACCAACAGAGGCUAUGCAUGGAGGAAGGUAAUGAAAUUUAUUGGUUCUUGGUUUUUUGUGUGUUUACUCUUCUUAGACCUUUCACAAGCAUUACUGAAACUUUAAUUACAAGCACUGCAGUUGCUGAAGCACUGUCCAUCAGCAUUCCUCUACCUUUGUUUCACCUUCACUAGCUGAAGACAUUUUCUCACUAUUUGUUGCCAGAACAAAAGCCAUAACUUUAAUUUUGGUAAUUAUGCAAGACCAUGAUGUUCCUAAGCCUCUUCUAUGGUAUGACAUGUUGUUCCUACCUUCUUCUUUGGUUUACAGAUGCCUUUCUACUCUAUUUUACAUAGACUAUUAUACAUCUGCUAAAGAGCCCUUUUAGUUGGCAAUAUAAGAUACUUGGACAACCAUGACAACCGAUUUUGUGCUGGUCUGUGAACCAAUUCCCUGUUUUGGAUUGACUUUAAUCCUUGAAUCUUUGUUCUUUGUUGCAGCAGCCGAAGAAAGAACCGGAUGAUCUUGAGGGCAUAGCGGAUGCAGCGCCGGAUGCCUUGCCAAAGGUGAAGGCGAACAAGAAGGAGAAGAAGCGGAAGCGCAAGGAUAAGGACUCUUCUGGUUGCAUCUCUGGCUUACCUAC